CUUAACACAUGCAAGUCGAGGGGCAGCAUCAUCAAAGCUUGCUUUGAUGGAUGGCGACCGGCGCACGGGUGAGUAACACGUAUCCAACCUACCGACAACACUGGGAUAGCCUUUCGAAAGAAAGAUUAAUACCGGAUGGCAUAGUUUUCCCCGCAUGGGAUGACUAUUAAAGAAUUUCGGUUGUCGAUGGGGAUGCGUUCCAUUAGGCAGUUGGCGGGGUAACGGCCCACCAAACCGACGAUGGAUAGGGGUUCUGAGAGGAAGGUCCCCCACAUUGGAACUGAGACACGGUCCAAACUCCUACGGGAGGCAGCAGUGAGGAAUAUUGGUCAAUGGACGAGAGUCUGAACCAGCCAAGUAGCGUGAAGGAUGACUGCCCUAUGGGUUGUAAACUUCUUUUAUACGGGAAUAAAGUGUGCCACGUGUGGCUUUUUGUAUGUACCGUAUGAAUAAGGAUCGGCUAACUCCGUGCCAGCAGCCGCGGUAAUACGGAGGAUCCGAGCGUUAUCCGGAUUUAUUGGGUUUAAAGGGAGCGUAGGCGGGUUGUUAAGUCAGUUGUGAAAGUUUGCGGCUCAACCGUAAAAUUGCAGUUGAUACUGGCGACCUUGAGUGCAACAGAGGUAGGCGGAAUUCGUGGUGUAGCGGUGAAAUGCUUAGAUAUCACGAAGAACUCCGAUUGCGAAGGCAGCUUACUGGAUUGUAACUGACGCUGAUGCUCGAAAGUGUGGGUAUCAAACAGGAUUAGAUACCCUGGUAGUCCACACAGUAAACGAUGAAUACUCGCUGUUGGCGAUAUACAGUCAGCGGCCAAGCGAAAGCAUUAAGUAUUCCACCUGGGGAGUACGCCGGCAACGGUGAAACUCAAAGGAAUUGACGGGGGCCCGCACAAGCGGAGGAACAUGUGGUUUAAUUCGAUGAUACGCGAGGAACCUUACCCGGGCUUAAAUUGCAACUGACUGAACCGGAAACGGUUCUUUCUUCGGACAGUUGUGAAGGUGCUGCAUGGUUGUCGUCAGCUCGUGCCGUGAGGUGUCGGCUUAAGUGCCAUAACGAGCGCAACCCUUAUCGAUAGUUACUAGCAGGUCAUGCUGAGGACUCUAUUGAGACUGCCGUCGUAAGAUGUGAGGAAGGUGGGGAUGACGUCAAAUCAGCACGGCCCUUACGUCCGGGGCUACACACGUGUUACAAUGGGGGGUACAGAAGGCAGCUACACGGCGACGUGGUGCUAAUCCCGAAAGCCUCUCUCAGUUCGGAUUGGAGUCUGCAACCCGACUCCAUGAAGCUGGAUUCGCUAGUAAUCGCGCAUCAGCCACGGCGCGGUGAAUACGUUCCCGGGCCUUGUACACACCGCCCGUCAAGCCAUGAAAGCCGGGGGUACCUGAAGUACGUAACCGCAAGGAGCGUCCUAGGGUAAAACUGGUGAUUGGGGCUAAGUCGU
rnacentral:rRNA from 1 species